rnacentral:misc_RNA from 1 species
UUGAAUACAUAACAAGUCCACAAAUAGCAAAAGGAUUCCAACGAAAAUAUUGUCGUAUAACGCAAACAAAUAGAUAUUUCCACGACAUAAUGAAAUCUCGGUUUUUAUCACUACAUUUUCGCGACGUUCAAGCCAAUAUCGUUCCUAGUGGCAUAUCUCUGUAUUUUAUUAGGUUAUUUGUUCCUGUGAAAACUUGGGGUGAUACGCUUACCCACCCCUCCGACGAGG